rnacentral:rRNA from 1 species
UAGCUUGGUGGUUAUAGCAUGAGUGAAACACACGAUCCCA